rnacentral:rRNA from 1 species
UCCUACGGGAGGCAGCAGUGGGGAAUAUUGCACAAUGGGCGCAAGCCUGAUGCAGCAACGCCGCGUGAGGGACGAAGGCCUUCGGGUUGUAAACCUCUUUUAGUAGGGAAGAAGCGACUGGGUUUUCCUGGGAGUGACGGUACCUGCAGAAAAAGCACCGGCUAACUACGUGCCAGCAGCCGCGGUAAUACGUAGGGUGCAAGCGUUGUCCGGAAUUAUUGGGCGUAAAGAGCUCGUAGGCGGUUUGUCGCGUCUGCUGUGAAAACCCGAGGCUCAACCUCGGGCCUGCAGUGGGUACGGGCAGACUAGAGUGCGGUAGGGGAGAUUGGAAUUCCUGGUGUAGCGGUGGAAUGCGCAGAUAUCAGGAGGAACACCAAUGGCGAAGGCAGAUCUCUGGGCCGUAACUGACGCUGAGGAGCGAAAGCAUGGGGAGCGAACAGGAUUAGAUACCCUGGUAGUCCAUGCCGUAAACGUUGGGAACUAGAUGUGGGGACCAUUCCACGGUCUCCGUGUCGCAGCUAACGCAUUAAGUUCCCCGCCUGGGGAGUACGGCCGCAAGGCUAAAACUCAAAGGAAUUGACGGGGGCCCGCACAAGCGGCGGAGCAUGCGGAUUAAUUCGAUGCAACGCGAAGAACCUUACCAAGGCUUGACAUAUACCGGAAACGGCUGGAAACAGUCGCCCCGCAAGGUCGGUAUACAGGUGGUGCAUGGUUGUCGUCAGCUCGUGUCGUGAGAUGUUGGGUUAAGUCCCGCAACGAGCGCAACCCUUGUCCUAUGUUGCCAGCACGUAAUGGUGGGAACUCAUGGGAUACUGCCGGGGUCAACUCGGAGGAAGGUGGGGAUGACGUCAAAUCAUCAUGCCCCUUAUGUCUUGGGCUUCACGCAUGCUACAAUGGCCGGUACAAAGGGCUGCGAUACCGCAAGGUGGAGCGAAUCCCAAAAAGCCGGUCUCAGUUCGGAUUGAGGUCUGCAACUCGACCUCAUGAAGUCGGAGUCGCUAGUAAUCGCAGAUCAGCAACGCUGCGGUGAAUACGUUCCCGGGCCUUGUACACACCGCCA